GUGGCUGGGGCUCAGUGGUAGAGCGCUUGCCUAGCAUGUGGGAGGCACUGGGUUUGAUUCUCAGCACCACA
rnacentral:tRNA from 1 species